ensembl:snoRNA small nucleolar RNA SNORA2/SNORA34 family
AUGGCCCUGAGUCAAGGCCGGCAGUUUUCUGAAGCUGUUGGUUUCAAGCAGGAGCCUCAAAUGGUAUCUUUCUAUGUAUGGUCUCUUGGCCAUUUCAGAACUUUAGAAAUGUAAUGGUCAAUUCAUUAGAAAGAAACAACC